rnacentral:snoRNA from 1 species
CCACUCAUAGCUUAGCCAGGCAAGUCCCUUUCCCCACGGGGGCCUGGUGCGCAAUGGUUGCAAACAGCGGCCUCCUUGGAAGUGUUGCCUUGUGAGUAGCCCUAAGGGACCGCGGAGGUGAUU